rnacentral:rRNA from 1 species
CUGAGGCGUGAUGACGAGGCACUACGGUGCUGAAGCAACAAAUGCCCUGCUUCCAGGAAAAGCCUCUAAGCAUCAGGUAACACGAAAUCGUACCCCAAACCGACACAGGUGGUCAGGUAGAGAAUACCAAGGCGCUUGAGAGAACUCGGGUGAAGGAACUAGGCAAAAUGGUGCCGUAACUUCGGGAGAAGGCACGCUGACACGUAGGUGAAGUGAUUUACUCAUGGAGCUGAAGUCAGUCGAAGAUACCAGCUGGCUGCAACUGUUUAUUAAAAACACAGCACUGUGCAAACACGAAAGUGGACGUAUACGGUGUGACGCCUGCCCGGUGCCGGAAGGUUAAUUGAUGGGGUCAGCGCAAGCGAAGCUCCUGAUCGAAGCCCCGGUAAACGGCGGCCGUAACUAUAACGGUCCUAAGGUAGCGAAAUUCCUUGUCGGGUAAGUUCCGACCUGCACGAAUGGCGUAAUGAUGGCCAGGCUGUCUCCACCCGAGACUCAGUGAAAUUGAACUCGCUGUGAAGAUGCAGUGUACCCGCGGCAAGACGGAAAGACCCCGUGAACCUUUACUAUAGCUUGACACUGAACAUUGAGCCUUGAUGUGUAGGAUAGGUGGGAGGCUUUGAAGUGUGGACGCCAGUCUGCAUGGAGCCGGCCUUGAAAUACCACCCUUUAAUGUUUGAUGUUCUAACGUGGACCCGUUACCCGGGUUGCGGACAGUGUCUGGUGGGUAGUUUGACUGGGGCGGUCUCCUCCUAAAGAGUAACGGAGGAGCACGAAGGUUGGCUAAUCCUGGUCGGACAUCAGGAGGUUAGUGCAAUGGCAUAAGCCAGCUUGACUGCGAGCGUGACGGCGCGAGCAGGUGCGAAAGCAGGUCAUAGUGAUCCGGUGGUUCUGAAUGGAAGGGCCAUCGCUCAACGGAUAAAAGGUACUCCGGGGAUAACAGGCUGAUACCGCCCAAGAGUUCAUAUCGACGGCGGUGUUUGGCACCUCGAUGUCGGCUCAUCACAUCCUGGGGCUGAAGUAGGUCCCAAGGGUAUGGCUGUUCGCCAUUUAAAGUGGUACGCGAGCUGGGUUUAGAACGUCGUGAGACAGUUCGGUCCCUAUCUGCCGUGGGCGCUGGAGAACUGAGGGGGGCUGCUCCUAGUACGAGAGGACCGGAGUGGACGCAUCACUGGUGUUCGGGUUGUCAUGCCAAUGGCACUGCCCGGUAGCUAAAUGCGGAAGAGAUAAGUGCUGAAAGCAUCUAAGCACGAAACUUGCCCCGAGAUGAGUUCUCCCUGAGACUU